GACGAACGCUGGUGGCGUGCUUAACACAUGCAAGUCGAACGGGAUUUAGUAAACAGCAGCCUCGGUGGAAGAUUACUAAUGAGAGUGGCGAACGGGUGAGUAACGCGUGAGCAACCUGCCUAUGACAGUGGGAUAGCCUCGGGAAACCGGGAUUAAUACCGCAUAAAAUCGUAGAAACACAUGUUUUAACGGUCAAAGAUUUAUCGGUCAUAGAUGGGCUCGCGUCUGAUUAGCUAGUUGGUGAGAUAACAGCCCACCAAGGCGACGAUCAGUAGCCGGUCUGAGAGGAUGCACGGCCACAUUGGAACUGAGACACGGUCCAAACUCCUACGGGAGGCAGCAGUGGGGAAUAUUGCACAAUGGGGGAAACCCUGAUGCAGCGACGCCGCGUGAACGAAGAAGGUAUUCGUAUCGUAAAGUUCUGUCCUAUGGGAAGAUAAUGACAGUACCAUAGAAGAAAGCUCCGGCUAAAUACGUG
rnacentral:rRNA from 1 species